UUGACCUCGAAUCAGGUAGGAAUACCCGCUGAACUUAAGCAUAUCAAUAAGCGGAGGAAAAGAAACCAACCGGGAUUACCUCAGUAACGGCGAGUGAAGCGGUAACAGCUCAAAUUUGAAAUCUGGCUCCUUCGGAGUCCGAGUUGUAAUUUGUAGAAGAUGCUUUGGGUUGUGGGCUCGGCCUAAGUUCCUUGGAACAGGACGUCAUAGAGGGUGAGAAUCCCGUAUGUGGCCAUGGCCCGCGCCUAUGUAAAGCUCUUUCGACGAGUCGAGUUGUUUGGGAAUGCAGCUCAAAAUGGGUGGUAAAUUUCAUCUAAAGCUAAAUAUGGGCCAGAGACCGAUAGCGCACAAGUAGAGUGAUCGAAAGAUGAAAAGCACUUUGGAAAGAGAGUUAAACAGUACGUGAAAUUGUUGAAAGGGAAGCGCUUGCAACCAGACUUGGGCGCUGCCGAUCACCCCGAGUUCUCUCGGGUGCACUCGACAGCGCACAGGCCAGCAUCGGUUCGGGUGGCUGGAUAAAGGCCGUAGGAAUGUAGCUCUCUUCGGGGAGUGUUAUAGCCCACGGUGCCAUGCAGCCCAGCCGGACCGAGGACCGCGCCUUCGGGCUAGGAUGCUGGCGUAAUGGUUGUAAGCGACCCGUCUUGAAACACGGACCAAGGAGUCUAACAUCUAUGCGAGUGUUUGGGCGUUAAACCCAUACGCGGAAUGAAAGUGAACGUAGGUGAGAACCCCUUUGGGGCGCAUCAUCGACCGAUCCUGAUGUCU
rnacentral:rRNA from 1 species